GACCGGCGUCGAGCGGUGUUGUGCUCGCGCGCAGCUCGGAGCUGCCCACAGGCCGUGCCACCCGGGUCUCGAUCG
rnacentral:tRNA from 1 species